rnacentral:rRNA from 1 species
AUUGAACGCUGGCGGCAUGCCUUACACAUGCAAGUCGAACGGCAGCACGGGUGCUUGCACCUGGUGGCGAGUGGCGGACGGGUGAGUAAUGCAUCGGAACGUGUCCUAAAGUGGGGGAUAACGCAUCGAAAGAUGUGCUAAUACCGCAUAUUCUCUGAGGAGGAAAGUAGGGGAUCGAAAGACCUUAUGCUUUUGGAGCGGCCGAUGUCUGAUUAGCUAGUUGGUAGGGUAAUGGCUUACCAAGGCGACGAUCAGUAGUUGGUCUGAGAGGACGACCAGCCACACUGGGACUGAGACACGGCCCAGACUCCUACGGGAGGCAGCAGUGGGGAAUUUUGGACAAUGGGCGCAAGCCUGAUCCAGCAAUGCCGCGUGAGUGAAGAAGG